UUUUCGGGUUCCCGGUGCUUCUCUUAUCUUACCGCGUGAUGGCGGGUCCAUUGAUCAAGCCACUCAAGAUGAAGUAAGCCAUUGGUCACCUUGAAGAUCUGCAGAAAGCAGAUGGAGCAGUUCCUGCUACUCAGAGAAUGUGGAUGAGAUAGCCCAUAGGAAGGCGUGUUGGCUCAUGCUGCAGUAUGGUGAUAUGAAAAGUCCCGCUCUUCAGUAAUAUUGGCUUCCUGCGUGAAAGAGAAAGGAAGACAGAACGCAUGUGGAAAGUGCUUAACCUAAAGCCAGUUCUACAGCGGAAAGACUAUCCCCACUCUCAUACUACAGUGUAAAUUGGAGCCCGAGAAGCCAUGAUACAAGAAGCAGAGUGAGUGAGGCCUGCAGUCCCAUGUGUGAGAUCACAUGUGCAGCCUGAAGCCUGGACCACAAACCAUGAAGCAGUUGUGUUCAGGUGAGGCAUCGAAUUGAUCUGAAGUCUAGACUCAGACAGAAAGACUGCAAAGUUAUACAGUGAUUUUCACCCUUUUCUAUUGCCUGCAUUCAUUGUUCUGAGUUUGGAAUCUUAAGCAUUGUUCUCAGAUUCUAACAUUCAGUGCUAGAACCCUAAAUAGUCUAAGAAGUUAUUACAACAAUACAAUCACCAGACUGUUAUAUCAGGCAAGUUCAACUGCAUGAAUUUAAAUGUGUGAUUUGUAUAUGUUCUUUAAACUACAUUUAAAGGCAACAUUGAAUGGACUCAGUGGGUAUUAAAUAAUAAAAAAAAGAA